UACGUAGGGGGCAAGCGUUGUUCGGAUUUACUGGGCGUAAAGGGCGCGUAGGCGGCGCGACAAGUCACUUGUGAAAUCUCUGAGCUUAACUCAGAACGGCCAAGUGAAACUGUUGUGCUAGAGUGCAGAAGGGGCAAUCGGAAUUCUUGGUGUAGCGGUGAAAUGCGUAGAUAUCAAGAGGAACACCUGAGGUGAAGACGGGGUUGCUGGGCUGACACUGACGUGAAGCGCGAAAGCCAGGGGAGCAAACGGGG
rnacentral:rRNA from 1 species